rnacentral:rRNA from 1 species
UAGCGGCGGACGGGUGAGUAACGCGUGAGAAACCUGCCUUUCACAAGGGGAUAGCCUCGGGAAACUGGGAUUAAUACCCUAUGACACUUUUAAAUCGCAUGAUUUUAAAGUUAAAGCGUAAAGCGGUGAAAGAUGGUCUCGCGUCCCAUUAGUUAGUUGGUGAGGUAGAGGCUCACCAAGACGUCGAUGGGUAGCCGGCCUGAGAGGGUGAACGGCCACACUGGAACUGAGACACGGUCCAGACUCCUACGGGAGGCAGCAGUGGGGAAUAUUGCACAAUGGAGGAAACUCUGAUGCAGCGACGCCGCGUGAACGACGAAGGCCUUCGGGUCGUAAAGUUCUGUCCUUGGGGACGAUAAUGACGGUACCCAAGGAGGAGGCCCCGGCUAACUACGUGCCAGCAGCCGCGGUAAUACGUAGGGGGCGAGCGUUGUCCGGAAUUAUUGGGCGUAAAGGGUUCGCAGGCGGUUCCUUAAGUCAGAUGUUAAAUGCAUAGGCUCAACC